CUUUUAAGAAGUGAACAACCAAGUUAUUUGCCUGGAAAAGUCUCCUGAAAUACUGAAGUUAUGCUAAAGAAGGAGAAGAGAAAGGAAGCUGCAGUCCCUCUAUAACUCCUAAAUUUUUAAUUUGGAGUUCCUCUUCUUUGGUGCAACAAUCUUUCUGCAUGCACAGAUCCAUGUGGCACUCAUCUCAUCAUUCUGAGGGAAGAAAGAUGCAUGGGGAAUGUUGCAUGUGGUUAUUUCUAUUUCUCUCAAGUGCACAUUAUCCAUCAAGAAGAUUUAAAUCAUUUUGAAAUAUUUAUAUAAUGAUCAAAAAUUAACUUUUAUACAUGUUAUUAGGCAGAACCCACAGAAAACAAUAAAGCAGGAGAGAAAAGAGGAUGGCAGUUUACUCAGGAAACAUAGGUUGUGCAAAGCUUUGCAAUGAUACUCUCAAUUCAGAGCAAUGAAGAACAGAAUUCU
rnacentral:lncRNA from 1 species